UCAAGCUACAAAGGGCGCAUGGUGAAUGCCUUGGCAUCAGGAGCCGAUGAAGGACGUGAUAAGCUGCGAUAAGCUUCGGGUAGGCGCACAUAGCCAGUGAUCCGGAGAUUUCCGAAUGUGGGAACACACAUGGGAAACCCCAUGUAUCGUAUAGUGAAUACAUAGCUAUACGAGGGUAAACCUAGGGAACUGAAACAUCUAAGUACCUAGAGGAAGAGAAAGAAAAAUCGAUUUUCUGAGUAGCGGCGAGCGAAAGGGAAAGAGCCCAAACCAGUGACUUGUCACUGGGGUUGCGGACAGAGCAUUAACGAGAAGAUGUUAUUAACCGAACAUAACUGGAAAGUUAGACCGUAGGAGGUAAUAGUCCUGUAGGUGAAAGUAACAUUUAUCAAGCUUUGAUCCAGAGUACCACGAGACACGUGAAACCUUGUGGGAAGCAGGGAGGACCACCUCCCAAGGCUAAAUACUACCUGAUGACCGAUAGUGAAGCAGUACCGUGAGGGAAAGGUGAAAAGAACCCCGGGAGGGGAGUGAAAUAGAACCUGAAACCGUGUGCCUACAACCGGUCAAAGCCCCAUAUGAGGGUGAUGACGUGCUUUUUGUAGAACGAGCCAACGAGUUACGGUAUGUAGCAAGGUUAAGUACUUAAGGUACGGAGCCGAAGGGAAACCGAGUCUUAAUAGGGCGACUAGUUGCAUGCCGUAGACCCGAAACCGGGUGACCUAUCCAUGGCCAGGUUGAAGCGAGGGUAAAACCUCGUGGAGGACCGAACCACGUUGCUGUUGAAAAAGCAUGGGAUGAGCUGUGGAUAGCGGAGAAAUUCCAAUCGAACUCGGAGAUAGCUGGUUCUCCCCGAAAUAGCUUUAGGGCUAGCGUCGGAUAUGUGUAGUGGAGGUAGAGCACUGAAUGGGCUAGGGGGCAUAUCGCUUACCGAACCUUAUCAAACUCCGAAUGCCAUAUACAUUUAGUCCGGCAGUCAGACUACGAAUGAUAAGAUCCGUGGUCAAAAGGGAAACAGCCCAGAUCGUCAGCUAAGGUCCCAAAGUGUAAGUUAAGUGGAAAAGGAUGUGGGAUUUCUAAGACAACUAGGAUGUUGGCUUAGAAGCAGCCACUCAUUUAAAGAGUGCGUAAUAGCUCACUAGUCGAGAGAUCCUGCGCCGAAAAUGUCCGGGGCUCAAACUUACCACCGAAGCUACGGGCUUGCGUAAGCAAGCGGUAGGGGAGCGUCGUAAUCGGGCUGAAGUCGUACCGUAAGGAGCGGUGGACUGAUUACGAGUGAGAAUGUUGGCAUUAGUAGCGAGAUGUAGGUGAGAAUCCUACAGGCCGAAUAUCUAAGGUUUCCUCAGGAAGGCUCGUCCGCUGAGGGUUAGUCGGGACCUAAGCCGAGGCCGAAAGGCGUAGGCGAUGGACAAUCGGUUGAUAUUCCGAUACCACUACCAUCGUUAUUAUCGAGGGUGUGACGGAGAAGGAUAGUGUGUGCUAGCGAUUGGAAAUGCUAGUCUAAGCGUUUAGGGAGUUACGGUAGGCAAAUCCGCUGUAACAAUUCUGAGGCGUGAUGGGGAAGGCCAUAUAGGCCGAAGUACAUGAUUCCAUGCUUCCAAGAAAAGCAUCUAGAGAGAGAAGUAGUGCCCGUACCGCAAACCGACACAGGUAGAUGAGGAGAGAAUCCUAAGGCCGGCGGAAGAAUUGCAGUUAAGGAACUAGGCAAAUUGACCCCGUAAGUUCGCGAGAAGGGGUGCCUGCGAGAGCAGGCCGCAGAGAAUAGGCCCAAGCAACUGUUUAGCAAAAACACAGGUCUCUGCUAAAGCGCAAGCUGAUGUAUAGGGGCUGACGCCUGCCCGGUGCUGGAAGGUUAAGGGGAACACUUAGCGCAAGCGAAGGUGUGAACUUAAGCCCCAGUAAACGGCGGCCGUAACUAUAACGGUCCUAAGGUAGCGAAAUUCCUUGUCAGGUAAGUUCUGACCCGCACGAAUGGCGUAAUGACUUGGGCACUGUCUCAACUGCAAAUCCGGCGAAGUUGUAGUGCGAGUGAAGAUGCUCGCUACCCGCGAUUGGACGGAAAGACCCCGUAGAGCUUUACUGUAGCUUAGCAUUGAAUUCCGGUAUUGUCUGUACAGGAUAGGUGGGAGACUGGGAAACUAGGGCGUCAGCCUUAGUGGAGUCAACCUUGGGAUACCACCCUGACAGUACUGGGGUUCUAACAGGACGCCAUGAAUCUGGUGACUGGACAUUGUUAGGUGGGCAGUUUGACUGGGGCGG
rnacentral:rRNA from 1 species